rnacentral:rRNA from 1 species
UACGUAGGGAGCGAGCGUUAUCCGGAUUUACUGGGUGUAAAGGGAGCGUAGACGGUACGCCAAGUCUGAAGUGAAAUGCCGCAGCUUAACUGCGGAACUGCUUUGGAAACUGGCGGGCUAGAGUGCGGGAGGGGUAAGCGGAAUUCCUAGUGUAGCGGUGAAAUGCGUAGAUAUUAGGAGGAACACCAGUGGCGAAGGCGACUUUCUGGACUGUACCUGACGCUGAGGCGCGAAAGCGUGGGUAGCGAACGGG